rnacentral:rRNA from 1 species
GAUGAACGCUGGCGGCGUGCCUAAUACAUGCAAGUCGAGCGAAUGGAUUAAGAGCUUGCUCUUAUAAAGUUAGCGGCGGACGGGUGAGUAACACGUGGGUAACCUGCCCAUAAGACUGGGAUAACUCCGGGAAACCGGGGCUAAUACCGGAUAACAUUUUGAACCGCAUGGUUCGAAAUUGAAAGGCGGCUUCGGCUGUCACUUAUGGAUGGACCCGCGUCGCAUUAGCUAGUUGGUGAGGUAACGGCUCACCAAGGCAACGAUGCGUAGCCGACCUGAGAGGGUAGUCGGCCACACUGGGACUGAGACACGGCCCAGACGCCUACGGGAGGCAGCAGUAGGGAAUCUUCCGCAAUGGACGAAAGUCUGACGGAGCAACGCCGCGUGAGUGAUGAAGGCUUUCGGGUCGUAAAACUCUGUUGUUAGGGAAGAACAAGUGCUAGUUGAAUAAGCUGCACCUUGACGGUACCUAACCAGAAAGCCACGGCUAACUACGUGCCAGCCGCCGCCGUAA